ensembl:lncRNA
AGCACACAGCAACGAAGUAUACUUCUCCCUCUGGUCAUAUGAUAGGGAACAGACAAGUAGUAUCAGAAGGUCAUCUGAUAGGGAACAGACUAGUAGUAUCAGAAGGUCAUCUGAUAGGGAACAGACUAGUAGUGUCAGAAGGUCAUCUGAUAGGGAACAGACUAGUAGUGUCAGAAGGUCAUCUGAUAGGGAACAGACUAGUAGUAUCGGAAGGUCAUCUGAUAGGGAACAGACUAGUAGUGUCAGAAGGUCAUCUGAUAGGGAACAGACUAGUAGUGUCAGAAGGUCAUCUGAUAGGGAACAGACUAGUAGUGUCAGAAGGUCAUCUGAUAGGGAACAGACUAGUAGUGUCAGAAGGUCAUCUGAUAGGGAACAGACUAGUAGUGUCAGAAGGUCAUCUGAUAGGGAACAGACUAGUAGUAUCGGAAGAUGGGUGAGAUUGUUGGCUUCUAUUUAGGCGGUCAGGAGAAGUAAUUUUUCUUUGACAAGGAUGUACAUCUGAUGUGCAAAAAGGCCCUUCCCUUGUAGUUUGGAAUUCAGUUCCUUCGUGAGGGCCACGGUGAAGGCCAAAUCAGCCAACCAUUCUUUAUCUUGCAGUUGAGGGAAAUCCACAUAUUUUCCUUUCAUUUGCAAAAACUCAGCGAUCUCCGACUUCAGGUCCCACACGCUUUUAAACACCUUCCCCAAACUCAGCCAUCUCACGUUUGUGUGUUAGGGGAGAUCUGAACAACCCGACUCUGUCUCUUCCAACAGUGAGACAAACUGCCUGUGGUUUAAAGAUUUUGCUCUUAUGAAGUUUACCACUUUAGUGACUGUAUCCACAACAUGGCUCAUUUUCAGAACACAUUUACAGAGCACCUCCUGAUGAAUAAUGCAAUGCAAAAUAAUAAUGAUGCAAAAAUUCUGAUCUGGGUUCCGCUCAGCUACAUGAUCUUGUAUCCUUUUCAAAAGGCCAACGGUUUUUUUCCAGUCAAGUUUGGGCACCCAUCAGGAGUCACACUGGAUACCUUUUCAAAACUCAGUCCCAGCUUUGCCACACAGUUAUUAACCUCCUCCAAUAAAUCUUUCCCUGUGGUUGUGCUCUUCAUUGACUUCACUGAAGCAAGCUCAUCUGUAAUUUCAAAGUCUGC